rnacentral:misc_RNA from 1 species
UCCGAGUUAUCCCCGGCAGUCUCCUAUGAGUCCCCGGCCGAACCGCUGGCAACAUAGGACAAGGGUUGCGCUCGUUGCGGGACUUAACCCAACAUCUCACGACACGAGCUGACGACAGCCAUGCACCACCUGUCAUGGGCCCUUACGGACACUGUAUUUCUACAGCUUUUCCCACGAUGUCAAGCCCAGGUAAGGUUCUUCGGGUUGCAUCGAAUUAAGCCGCAUGCUCCGCCGCUUGUGCGGGGACCCGUCAAUUCCUUUGAGUUUUAGCCUUGCGGCCGUACUCCCCAGGCGGGAUACUUAAUGCGUUAGCUUCGGCACGGCAGUCGUUGGUAAGACCCCCACACCUAGUGCCCAACGUUUACGGCAUGGACUAC